rnacentral:tRNA from 1 species
AGGUCGGCUCGCCUACGGGUGUGGGCAACGGUCUGUAAAACCGCCGCUUUUAUGCAUUGCUGGUUCAAGUCCAGCCCGGCCUA